UUACGGCAAUAUCACGUUGAAACAUCGGUUCUCGUACAAUCACCGAAGUUAAGCAACGUCGAGCCUGGGCAGUAUCUAGAUGGGUAACUCCUUGGGAAUACCAGGUGUUGUAA